AGCGAUUACACUGGUAACCCGUAGCUCAGCGGCUUCCAGUACAAGGAUUACAUCAAGCAGUGAAAUACGAGGAACAACUCUAAGUUUUCUCAGUGAACCUUUUACUACAG